GGUGAAGAUGGACAGUGUGUGAAUUGUAAGAGCUCUGUUUCUAAACUGAUUGAACUGUAUUGCACAGAAUUUCAAAAGCUCUACUGUUUGUUACUCUUCACUACUAAUAUAGCCUUUGACUCUAAGCAGGCUGUCCUUUGUGAGUAACAAUCACAGAUACAGACAUCUUCAGAUGGUUCAAGUCGUGUGCUUCAAUCAAACCCUAGUUGGAAAAGAACUUUCAGAGCAAGGCUGCUUCCACAGUACUGGCAAAAUCUGCUAUAUAUCACAUAACAUAGCAUGGUGCACUCACUCAAACUUUAUGUUUCCCUGUUUUAUAAAUUCUUCAGGGCACUGCAUGGCUCACAAAAAUCUAAUACUGGCAUUCUCUAUGUUGGCGAUUACUGAAUGGAAAUACGCAUAUUUAGCUUGAAAGAAAGAAGGGUAAUAUUUUCCUUGCAAUUUAUUCACCAUUUCCUUUAUAUAACCUGAAAUCAUGAGCUUUGUGACACACCGGAAAAGAAAUACUUUAUUAUAGAGAAUAUAACUAGAUAGUAAUGAGUUUUAAAGCAUAGUAUUGAUUAUGUAUAAUGGUUCUCACAGACACAAAAUGAAAACAUCUGAAAAAUAAGAGUAAAUUUCUUA